rnacentral:rRNA from 1 species
GGUUAAGCGACUAAGCGUACACGGUGGAUGCCCUGGCAGUCAGAGGCGAUGAAGGACGUGCUAAUCUGCGAUAAGCGCCGGUAAGGUGAUAUGAACCGUUAUAACCGGCGAUUUCCGAAUGGGGAAACCCAGUGUGAUUCGUCACACUAUCAUUAACUGAAUCCAUAGGUUAAUGAGGCGAACCGGGGGAACUGAAACAUCUAAGUACCCCGAGGAAAAGAAAUCAACCGAGAUUCCCCCAGUAGCGGCGAGCGAACGGGGAGGAGCCCAGACAGA